UAGAGAGAGGAAGUGAGAGAGAGGAGAGAUAGAGAGAGAAAGUAGAAAAUCAACCAAGUUUAAGGCCCCGAAUCCCGAAGCUUGUGAAGGAUAAAGUGUAGUACAAGUUGUCGCCGUCAUUCUAAGCUAAAAAUCGAACUUGGGGAUGUUGAUUUCGUGGUGACUACUCACAAAAGAUUAAAGUUGAAGGAAUUGAAGGACAUUGUGAUACGCUCAAGAGCAGGAAGUCAAGGUACUGACGUACAGGACAACGCACCUGCUCAGUAGGACAACUCUCAUAUCAGUUUUUGGGUAAGCCCCAUUCUCUUCGGGGUUUAGUCAGUUGUUUACCUUAUGUCAUUGAUGCAUUAAGGGUAUGCUGGGGGCCUUGUCCCAGCAAGUAUAUUUUAUGUUCAGACUCAUGUUAGAGGUUUCAUAGACUAGACAAGUCAGUUAUGUCAUGUUAGACAUUUGGAGUCGUAUAGCCAUUUUGGCUCACUCAUGUUUGAACAAGUACCUUAUUAUGUAUUAUGACUUAUUACGCUUUACAAAGGCUCGACAUGCAUUCACGUUA